AACCCGUUAAAAUAUUAUGUAAAAUCAAAUUUCAUUUCCGAAUUAGAAUGAUUUAAAUUUGUAGCUGGGGGGGUGUUGUGAGUGUCAAAUUUGACGCCCCUAAAAUUUUGCCAUUCUAUAUUCUGUUCGUUGUGCUAGUAAGUAAAUCCGAUUCCGUAUGUUUUUAUUUUUUUUUUAUUAACUUUACAAACUUUGAAAUGAAAACGUCUGCACCGAUAUAAUAUAUAGCGUUUUACACACGACUUCACCAGAUGGUACCGGUGCACAAUUGUAUGUUCCAUAUGGGAUAUUGGUAAACAUUUAGUGCUGGUUUUUAUGUUUCACGUGCGCACACUCUAUCAAUUUCUUACUCCGAGUGCAAUGAUAAUUGCACGAACUCCUCAAACUCGUACGCCAUAUCUUUUAUUGUCAAAGGUGCCUAUCUUGAAUGCGUGGUUUUUAAUUUAUAUACUUUGAAUUGAUAAUACAUAAAAUACUAUAUUACUAUUAUUAUCAAAUAUAUUUAAUAGUAUUAUAAUUAACUAUAAAGACUUGAAAGGUAGCGUAAAUUGUUGUCAAAGAGAAAAUAAUUAUUAAUUGUAAAAAUUAUGUUGCACGUGAUUCGUGAUUCGACUGCACUGAGCAAUUUAUCGAACAAUAUCAGUUGCCUAGUAUAGGCGCGACAGUGCACACUACACACAUAUGGAAAA